GCACACACAGAGACACAAACACACAUAUGCACACACACAUAGACACAAUCUCUCACACACUUACACACAAAAUAACACAAUCUUCCACUGUCACUGGGCUGUGGCAAGAUUUCACAGCAAGUGGCCUCGAUGUAAGUCAACUCACUGAGAAACUAUUGUUCAAGUAAUUCACAUGAGUCAUCUUUGCAGCUCAAUUUUGUUCACAGGCAAAUACAAGGUUGAAAAAUAAAUUCAUAGAAUGAUGUCUGAUUGUCAUUGGAAUGGAAAAAUAGAUGUUGAGUUUCUUACACUGCAGAUGCCAUAUUUUUUUCAAAAGAUAUAUGUAUGUGUGUGUGUGUGUGUGUGUGUGUGUGUGUGUGUAAAUUUAAAAACUAUAUAUGUGUAUACGGUAUGUAAUACACACACACACACAGAGUGUUUUUUUUUUUUAAUUUACCAAUCACAUACUAUGUUCACCCAAGGAUAGAAUUAAAGUGAGGCUAACUCCUCUGGCUUGAAAAUAGUGUUUGUGCUGAGCUGAAGUUUGCUUCUAUUCCUUAUAGUCUUUCUUUUCCCCAUACCAGUUUGCCUGACAAUAUCUGCCUAACACAUCCUCUGUUAACUACCCACUAUAUUCUGAGAUUUAUAUUUAAUUAUCUCUCUUAAUUUAAAUAUGUCCUGAAGAAUAAAACGGAUAAGCAUAUAUGUGGAUCAAUCUUCAACCAGGUGAGUCCGGAAUUCAUGUGGAAAAGGAGAGAAUAUGAAAGCAUGGGUAGAAAUUGGAGAAUUAACUGGAGAUAAAUAGAGAUUUUGAAAUAUGCUUUAUUCAUGACAGCUUAGUUUUGAGGUGAAAGGGAAGAAAUAAAAAUAUAUUCUUAGCACUGUCUUUGCUUUCUGGAUCUCCCCUCAGGCUGGACUGCUACUUUGGAAGUAAUUAGAAUUUGUUAACCCAAAUAGGCUAUUUGAAUCUUAGUAUAGAGGAAGACUGUCCAUAUGCAUCAUAACUUGAGAAAAAAAAUCCACCUAAAAUUAGGUUGAAACCAAUAUUGGAUUUUAUUUUAGUGUGAUAUUUGUAUUUGUUUCUGGUUUUUAGCUUUAGAAAAAAGAACCAUCUUCCAGGGAAAUGCUGGUUAUUUUUAUUCUGACGGAGUCAUCACACUGCUAUCCUUCCGGGAAAGUGCCUGGUCACUAAUGACUGAGAUGGGCAUGUGGGGGUAGAGUCCACUUGCUGUUUGUCUUGUGUCAGAUUGUUGUUUCCUCGGCACAUUUGAGCUACAGAAUGAAAGUAAAGAUGCUGAACUUCAAAUCACAAUUGUCCCCCUGAUAUUUCUUUUCCAACAUCUGUUCAAUUACCAGUGAGCAUUUGAAGAGGCUGGCAGGACAUGCAGGGCACAAAGCAUUCAGGAUGCUGAAAAAAGCAUGUCAGAUUCCAGAGGAAGCUGCCCUUAACACAGGAGCAAGGGGGAGUACCCUGUCCUUUCAUAGGAAGGAAGAGUGUGGCUGUGUGUAUGGAUCCAGGGUAAUUUCUCAGUCAGAAAGCCUGAAGGAUCCCUCCUGGUCUGCCCACCCACACGCCCUGCAUUCUCACCUUCCUGGGUCUACCUGUGCAGUUGUAGCUCCCAACAACAUGCCAUGGGGACUGGGUGAAGGGAAAGGUAAUUGCAGAAUAUGCAAAUGAUAUAAGAAGAUGUUGAUAUGGACAAUAUAGUCAACAUUGUAGUUAUUAUCUAAUAUCAUAUAGCAAGCCAAACCCUAACUUAGUGGUUUAAAACAGAUACUGACUUUGAUCAAUAUUCAUUCUUCAAUCAACAGUGAAGACCCUGGGGCUGGUUGUCAGUUAAGGUAGCUGCAAGACUGUGACAGGGGAUCCUGUACCUUCUCACUCAGAUUUCUCUGACCGUCUCUUGGUCUAGGAAGACUCAAAUACCUGGGGGCAAGAACAUCUGGAACUUCCUAUUAGUUAUUUUGCUUGUUGUCAGGACCAUGUAUCUAAAGGAGGCAACUUUAGAGGCUUAAUUGGACUUCCUGUUGGAGGUUCUACAUUCUGUCUGGCAGGAAGGACGUGGCAGCCGGAGCUGGGCAUGGCUGCACACAUUGCAUCCAUAAUCAGGAUGCAGAGAAUGGACAGUGUCCCAAGUGGCCCACUUCUUCCAGGGAGACUCUCCUAAAACUCCCAAAUCCUCCCACACAGCACCACCGACUUGAGGCUAAAUGUUCAAAAACAUAAACCUAUGGGGGGAACAUUCAAACUAUAUCAGACUCCUUGAACAAAUAAUAACAGAAGGCAAAUUUGAGCUUUGUUUUUAUAAAAGAAAAAAAGAUAGUCAUUUUAGAACAGUAGACAACAUUUUAGGCAAAAUUGCUAAAUAAAAAAUGCACAGACAUAAUUGUGAAAAAAUUUGUUUGCAUAUAAAGAAUGUUUUUUAAAAAAUUCUACAAACGCCCGGGGGAAAAUAUAAAUGCUACGUAGGGUAAAGAAUGAGACAAUGAGUUGGCAGUACAGCACAACAUUGAAUGCCCCAGAGAGAACAAUUUAAGUGGUUCUGGGACAACACUUAGGACUAAAAUGUCAAUUUGUGAAAAAGACAGUACAAAGGGAAGCAAUCUAGUGAAGAUGUGAGAAAAAGGUCCUCUUGUGUACUUUUAUUGGAAAGCCAAAUGUUGUCUUCUGAGGAAACAAGUAAAGGACGAAAACCUCACAAAUAGCAAAAAUGCAUUCUAAAUGAUCAUGACAGUCCCAUCUAAACAUACCAAAUUAAGUUCUGGAAUGUUGAAAGAAAAAUAUUAGACUAAAUGCAUUAUUUUGCUUUCUUGAGAUUAUGAGAAAAAAACAUAAUAGUUAAUUUUUAUCUGUGUUUCUAAAUGAUGUUGGCAAAGAAAAUCUGAGGAAAGAAGGGAGGAUUAAGAUGGCCUCUGUUGGUAAAGUGUUUAACUAGGCAAACACACAGCCUGGACUACAUCCUUAGGACCACACAGUCUGGACUCCAUCUGAAGGACCACACAGCCUGGACUCCAUCCCCAAGACUGUACAGCCUGGACUACAUCCCUAGGACCACACAGUCUGGACUCCAUCUGAAGGACCACACAGCCUGGACUCCAUCCCCAUGACUGUACAGCCUGGACUCCAUCCCUAGGACCACACAGCCUGGACUUCAUCCCUAGGACCACACAGUCUGGACUCCAUCUGAAGGACCACACAGCAUGGACUCCUUCCCUACGACUGCACAGCCUGGACUCCAUUCCUAGGUUCACACAGCCUGGACUUAAUCCCUAGAACCACAAAGCCUGGACUUCAUCCCCAGGACCACACACAACACACGUGGUGCACAGCAGUUAUCACAGCAGUUGGGAGAUAACAGCAGCAAGAUCAGAAGUUAUGUCCCUCCUCAGCUGAAUGGACACACAUAGUGGAAUGACAGAACCAGCCCCCACAAAUUGUCCUCAGACCUCCAUGUACCAUGGGACUCACAAGCACACCUGUGCACAUGCACAUGUGCACCUGCACACUUAUAAAUAAAUGCAAUAAUUUUUAAAUCCUAA